AUCUGUACAAUAAGAACUUCAAGACACUGAGGAAAGAAAUUGAAGAAGACCUCAGAAGAUGGAAAGAUCUCCCAUGCUCAUGGAUUGGCAGGAUUAAUAUAGUAAAAAUGGCCAUUUUACCAAAAGCAAUCUACAGAUUCAUUGCAAUCCCCAUCAAAAUACCAAUCCAAUUCUUCAAAGAGUUAGACAGAACAAUUUGCAAAUUCAUCUGGAAUAACAAAAAACCCAGGAUAGCUAAAGCUAUCCUCAACAAUAAAA
rnacentral:lncRNA from 1 species